rnacentral:lncRNA from 1 species
UUUGUUUAUCUAAUUUGUAUUCUCAAAGCAGAGAAUACUUUAUGCAGGAGUUUGGUUAGGGUUCGUUAGGGAAGGUAAUAUAUGUUUCCCUAAAGUAAAUAACUCUGUCCUUUUGAUUGACCCAUGGAAAGAAAUUAGGAGUCUAAAAAGUCCACAUGAAGGUUUUUGCUUCCACACCAUUUUGUUUUUUAACAUUUUUUUAAUCCAAAAGACAUUUUUUAAUCGAAAAGGAAGAUAUAGGAAAUCAAAUUUACCAACUGUGUUUAGUAGCAAUCACAAUCAAGUAGAAAUCUGCUACCAGCAAGGCAGCAACAUAUGUUACUAUGUUCUUGUUUUUUUUAUUUCCCUCUCUUGUUUGGGUAGUUUGUUUGUGCUUUUCUCAAUUAAGUCAUCUAUUAGACUUAACAACGCUUUUAUCGUCGACUAGAGGAUAUAUCUAGUGACGUGAACUGAAUUCUGAUACCAUAUUAAAAAAUUUAGAUCCAAUAAGUUGAUAGAUAAUCAAACAGUCGGUCUAAUUUUGGUUGCUCGUAAAUACAUUUAUUUAGAGAAAGAUAGCAAGAUACUCAUCUUCUUCUUUCUUUUUCUUUUUAGAAAUAAACUUAAUUAAGAAUAUAAAUCAAUUAGAUCUCAAAGUUAGAACCUUGGGUAUUAAUAAUUAAGUUCUCAGUCAACUGCAGCAGAUACAGUCAGUGGUCGCUUGUAAAAGUUAGUUUCUAUUGUAAUAGAAGUUAACUUAGUAAAUCAACCAGGUAGGUUAGAACCUUGGGUAUUAAUAAUUAAGUUCUCAAUCAACUGCAGAAGAUAGUUGUUGCUUGUAAAAGUUAGUUUCUAUUGUAAUAGAAGUUAACUCAGGAAAUCAACCAGGUAGGUUUUAUCCAGCGAAUAGAUUAAGAUCCACAAUAAUCGACAUAAAUGCACCAGUUUUUCAACACAAAAUCAACAUGAUACAUCACGAUUAGCAAGAGCACGUAGAACCUUUGUUAAUUAUAUAAAGUGGGUGCGGAUUUAGCGUCCCCACAUGGUUAUGAGAUGCUAGAAUCAACCUGCUCGUGGAAAAACACACUGAAAAAGUUGAAAACGAAAUGAGAAGUAGUAAUCUAAAAUUGCAGGGCGCGAUGGUCAAUAGCAACAACGAUUCGUUUGAGACUUACACUCUCGCCAAACUUUUAGUAUUACAAAAAUAAAAACCAGUAAUGUAAAGGACGCGCUGAUAAACUGUUUCAAAAGUUAAUGAAAAGGACUUUAACCAACUGGAACAUAAUUUUCGAUUAUAGUAAUAUAUGAAAUAGUUUAUUACUGUGCACUUUUCACUACAGGCCAAGAGACAGUGUUUAUAGUUAAAGCCCAAUCAAUUGAUUUAUAGUGUGAGUAGGCUGAUCCAUUUCAAGCCCAAUUAAUUGACUUAUAGUGGAGCCCAAUCACUUAAUGGGCCUAGAAUGGUUCAGAGUUGGCCCGCCAUUUGUAUUGUUGAAUAAGUAGUUUUUUGAGUUAAUUGCUCGGAAUGAACCCAACAUUGUGGCAUGAUCUGUUUUCAUUAAAAUAAUAAUAAUUAGAUAAAAGUGUAGAGAACUUACAUGAACGUCAGAUCCUAUUGAUCUUACGCUUCCAAUUCGGAGGCCUGAUUAGGGUUCAAUAUUCGGACCCUAAUUGGAUCCAAGUUUAAAGGGCACAAGUAUAAUUAAAACCUUUUCGAAUUUGGAUACUUUAAUGGAUCCAACCCAAGCCCAACCCGUUCACACCUAUAUUUCUCUACCGACACGUCUACCGGCCCACUAACUUCUAGCCCUGCUUAUUGAUUUGUAUAUAUAUAUAUAUAUCUAAAAUAUUAAGUCCAAAUUUAAUUUUUUAUACUUAAUUUUAUUAAUUUUUAAUUUGAAUUAAAUAUAUAAAAGAAUACUUUUUUUUUUUUUUGAGAAUAGGUAGCACCUGCUUAAUUCAUUGAAAGAGUGAAUUCAGCUACAAGGGUGAGACAACUAAAGCCUGAGUCACCAGCAGGUACCAAAAAAACAAAAAAAAAAAAAAAAGAAGAAGAAGAACAAUCAAUCAUAGAAGGUCAUUUCAAGAAGUGAUAUUGAGCCUAUGCACCGCUAGAACAGGGUCCAGUUGAAAAGAAUACAUUUUCUUAUUUACACUCUACUAUUAUUUAAAAUUUUUCAAAUGUACUUUUAUAUACCGAUAAAUUAGAUAUGGUUGAAAUUUUAACAAUGUUACGAGCAGGGGUAAAUUAAGACAUUAUCCCAAAAAAAUAACAAGGUUAGCGAGAGUAACGGCCCGUUAUUCUCACGAGCCCGGUAAUCUUACCGUUUUCGUGCUCCUCCUCGCCCUUCUCGUGAUCUCCUGCAUUCUCCUCUCCUCUCCUCUCCUCUCCUCUCUCCGCUCGUAAACGAUGAUGGAUCCCGAGACCUACCUAGGGUUCGAAUCACCGGGCCCCCGCGCCGAGGACAUGGAAACCCUAGCCCUCUCCGACGCCCCCUCCGAUUACCGCAGCGCCAUCUCCUCCUUCUCCGCCGCCGCUGAUGGCGGGGACGAUCCCGCUCGCUCGCUCCCUCCGCCUCCCCCGUACCCUGUCUCCCCCUCCCCACCCCCUUCCUACGCCGAUGUCGUCCCCAGCCCCUUCCGAUCCCAAGACCCCGCCGCGGAUCUCGCCGCGCCCGCCGAUUACGUCGCGAUCGCCGUCUCCGAGCCGCAGAAGGAGCAGGACGCGGGCGGGGUCUACGUCAGCUACCUCGUCGCCAGCCGAUGGCGCGGCGGGGAGGAGCGCCGCGUGCGGCGGCGCUUCCGCGAGGUGGUGNCGCCGUCUCCGAGCCGCAGAAGGAGCAGGACGCGGACCGCCUCGCCGAGGCCUACCGCGGGUUCCUCGUCCCGCCGCGCCCCGACAAGGGCGUGGUCGAGGGCCAGGUGAUGCAGCAGCACGAGUUCCUGGAGCUGCGCCGCGCCGCGCUCGAGCGCUACCUGCGGCGGCUCGCCGCGCACCCCGCGAUCGGGCGGGGCGACGAGCUCCGCGCGUUCCUGGAGGCGCCCGGGAGGUUCACGGACGGGGCGGCGCAGCCUCCGAGUCACGCGCCACCGCAGGAGGCGGUGCACCCCGCGAAGGGUGGGAGGGACUUGCUCCGGAUCUUCAAGGAGCUCAAGCAGUCGGUGGCGAACGACUGGGGCGGGGCGAAGCCUCCCGUGGCGGAGGAGGAUAGGGACUUCUUGGAGAGGAAGGAGAAGAUGCAGGAUCUGGAGCAGCAGCUCACCACUUCUUCCCAGCAGGUGUGUUGAUAUCAAAGGAAAUGUCGUCUUAAUUCUUUUCUUUGAGAUCUGCUAACUGAUAAUAUGUUAUUGCAAUUUCAUUUUGCGAUUAGAAUCUUCUUUUUCCAUCAUGGAUCAUUUAGCUAGGAAAAUGAAACAAUAAGAAACAAAUUGAUGAGGAAUCAGAUUAAAUAGAUGGAAGGUUACGAAGAAAGCAGAAUCUCGAUAAGUAGAUUUAAGAGUCGCGUCACAUAUGUACUUACGAACCCUACUCUAUAACUGAUCGAUGGCUGUUUCGCUUUACCUGAAUUGAAGUAGAGUCUUAUGUUUUUUUUAAUUUGUAUAGCUGAAAACUGGACCGGUUAUUUAUAGUAUCGAUUUAUGUUAUAGUUUCCUCGACAAAUGUAUCAUCUAUGAGCUGUGAGUAAUUAUGAAGCAGUAUUACAUAAGAGGUGAGAUUGUGUAAAGAGAAAACUGAGCAAAUGUGAGAAGAAUCCUUGGUUCAAAGAAAAGUAUGGUUGUUUCACUUCGGUUCCUCGGUCAUCCAAUGAGAUGGAGGAGGAUCACAAGCAGAAUAUGGUUUGUCAUUUGGUUUUAAAUACCUACUGUUUUUUCAGGCAUAAAUUUGGAGGUGCCUUUAUGCUGCUUGCAAACACUAAAUUAUAUAAAAAUCAUCUUUUUCUAUGCCGGUGAGUAUUCCUUCUUAUUUAUUCUUAAUAGAUGUCCACUUCAUGCUUCAACAAUUUUCUGUGUAGAAUGAUGGUGUUAGUGUUAAGGUGUUCAUACAUGAAGAUUAGUGACAUGUUGAAAAAGAGCUAAAGGUUUGGUUGAUGUAUACUAAGAUAUUGGUUGAAUGGGUUAAAAAUUCCAAUGAGAUUGUGUGUGUGUGUGUGUGUGUGUGUGUGUGUGUGUUGUGUCAUCCUAGGUUAAUUUGUAAUUUGCACUUGAGCUUCCUUUAUCUCCCAACAGUGGCAACUUCAUAAAAUGAACAUUUCUUAAGAAAACAGAUCUUUAGAUUAAUUUCCAUAUUUCUAAUACUCAAGAGAGUUUUGGACGUAUUGAACUGACCAUGGCACUCGUAACCUUUAUCUCCUUUCUGGUUAUAAUUCAGGCUGAAGCACUUGUUAAAGCCCAGCAGGAUGUUGGUGAAACAAUGGGACAAUUAGGGCGAGUAUUUAUCAAACUAACAAAGCUUGAGACUGAGGAAGCAAUUUAUAAUUCUCAAAGAACAAGGGCUGCUGAUAUCAAGCGCGUAGCAGUUGCCACUGUCAAAGCUGGCAGAUUGUACCGAGAAUUAAACGCUCAAAUAGUCAAACAUCUGGUAAAAUAAAGGCUUUUGCGCGGGCCUUAUUUUUCUUUUGUUCAACUUGUAGUUAAUAACUUGUAUAACGUUCUUUUAAGCAGGAGGUUCUCCAUGAAUAUCUAGAGUUAAUGUUGGCUGUUCGAAGUGCAUUCUCAGAUCGGGCAAGUGCAUUAUUGACGGUACAAACACUUGUAUCCGAUUUGUCAUCCAUACAAGCAAGGGUAGAGAAACUUGAAACUGCAUCGUCCAAGGUAUUUGGUGGUGAUAGGUGGAGACUCCAUAAAAUAGAGGAGCUGAAAGAAACAAUAAGAGCUACUGAAGAUGCUAAAACCUUUGCUCUAAGAGAAUACGAAAGGAUCAAGGUAUUUGUGUUUUUCUUUUUUUUUGUAUUUGUCUCUCUCUCUCUCUCUCUCUCUCUCUCUCUCUCUCUAUGUUUGUAUGUAUAACAACAUACGAAGUGGAAAAUAUUCCACUUUUUAAAUAGCAAAGAUUAAUAUUUAUUGUUAAUUAAUUGCUUAAGACAUAAACAUUAGCAUUUAGCGACUUUCUGGGCUCUUUACUUCUCUUUCUCUACCUUCAGAUUUCGUCUGAAAUUUUAAUACAUUGACACAUAUAUGAGUACUACUUUGCGGUUAUUUGUUCAUUAUAAUAUAUUAUUCUUUUGCUCAAAUUAUACAUAUUGGGAUUCAUUAAUUUAAUCAUGAUGACUUGAGUGCUCUUCUUUAAUUUCAGUUUUUUCUUAGCAUUUUCUUUCAAGCUUAAUCCUGCUGCUUUUUUAAUUUUUAAUCAAGUUUUUCCUUUAGCUUUCUAGUUUUGUGUUCUUGCAAGUUACUUUCUUUACCUGUUCUAUCAUCUCCAUUAGAUUUUUAUGAUAAUAUGUGCCACUUCUCCAAUUAACGGAGACAUUUUUUCCUUGAAUCUUGUUAAUGACAUCUGAAUCUGCAGAGGUCAAUGUUAUUAAUCAAUGUGGAUGAUGGUUCUCUAAAUCAAGAUCAAUUCAUCCAACACUGCUGCCGGAUGAAUGUUAUUAUGUUUUGAACUUAAUUAUGAGUGAACAAACAUGACUCUGCCGAAAAGAAUGUGGGUACAGGUACAUUAUUAGAUUUCAUGCAGUUGUCUGAUUUACUUGCGGUGUAAUGCAGGAAAUCAACCGCAGUGAACUGGAGAGACUGGACAGAGAAAGGCAUGAUGAUUUUCUAAGCAUGCUCAAAGGAUUUGUAGUAAACCAGGUAUUUCUUUUCCCUAACAAUAUUGCCCAAACUUCAACAGCUACCGUUUGGACAAAAUGCCUCAACUCUUUCAGUUACUAUUUUAUUUUGGCGAUCCACAGGGCCACGGCGCUUAGUUUCUUUCCCUUCUUGUUGUGCUUGUUUAGAGGUCUAGCGAGCAAAAAUUUGUCGAUUUUCUAUCAAAGCUGAUUUUUCUUUCUUCUAAAUCUUUCGUGUUAUUGGAGUAAAGACACCGGCCACAUGCCACUAUGCUUCCAUCAAUAUAUAGAAAAUGUACUAAACAGCUCACUUCUGUACAUUUUUUCUAUCUCAAUUGGCUUGAGAGCGUAGCGUACACAUGCCAUCAAAGUAGUACUUAAAAAACAUAUGGACGAGUACUUGUAACUAUCUACAGGAUCUCAUCCUUUUUAGCACGAAUUUAUUCAUGUAUCAUUAAGAUCUUCUGCAUUGCAUGUAAUACAGGUUGGCUAUGCAGAAGAGUUGGCAAGCGUCUGGGCAAAAGUAGCAGAUGAGACGAGGGGCUACGCAAGAGGGUGAUUAGAACACAUGUAAAUCCCCCGUUUUUUUUUUUCUCCCCGCUUAUUUUUCUCUUAACGUUUCUUCCACCACACAUGCUUGUAUAUUUGUUAAUUUAGGUCCACGAGAGAACAGAAAAGAGAAAGAACCACACCGCAGUCCCUGAAUAUCCUUAGUUUGAUUUGAAUUCGUUACUUGGUUAUUUCGAGGGUGUAUAUAAUCUUCCUAAUAGCACAGUUCGUGCCUUGGUUUCUGUGUCAGAUGAGAUUGUUAGGUAUAAGCUUCCUUAAGUUAUUGGUCAGUAAUAUAAUAAGACGGCCCUCACGACGUAGAAGUUUAUUGUAUAACACUUACACCACAUUAUUUAUUUUCAACCAAUCAUAUAUUUAAAAAAAAGAGUAUAAUAAAAAUAUAUAUUUUUUAAAUAUCAUGAUAGAAUGGGUGAAUUUAAAAAAAAAAAAAUUGAUUGAUUAAGAGCAUCACAUUAAUAGUAUAAAUAUAGCAUUUUAGAAUUUUUCCGUCGCCUUAGUUUUUGAGCCCUUUGUAAUUAUCAUAAUUUAUAGCUAAACAAGGGAGCAUGAUCAUAAGUUGGGGGAAAUAGUGCACAUCUCUGCUCUCUUCAAAAAAUAAAAAUAAUAAUAACAAAAAUUCUCACGUCACUUACAGCUGGUUCUUACUGUAUCAUGUUCCGUUAACGAGGAAGCUAGCUCCUACAGAUGGAUUUUUUUUUUUUUUCUUCCCCUGGUGCGUGUGUGUACCGACGCAGGGGCGUGCACACGGGCCAAUCUUAGUGGACACGAGUUGCUUCCGGUGUCGGAUGGACAAUGAAAUCACGCUGUACACAGAAAGAUCUUGCGCACAAACAUGAACAUGAGUACAUGACCCCCACUUAAUGGGAGUACGCCUGGGCUCUCUCGAAACGUAUGAGAGCUGGCACACCCACUUCAACCACUAGUUUGUAGCUGGAUAUACAACAUAAUCGUUUCAGAUAACUUGUUUUCCUUGUUAAGAGUUGUUCAUCUUGCAUAAAAUACAAAAAAAAGUUCUCACAUACAUUCAUUCGACAUAAAAUUAUUAUAUUAUUUUUGAGUAAAAUUUUGACAACCUUAAAUUUUGACAACCUUAAAUUUUGACAACCUUAAAUUGACAACCUUAAAUUACUUUCGUACGCGUUCUAUGUGCAUACCUAUUACAAACAAUUCUCGGACCAGAAAGGAAGCAUUAUUUUCGAGCAUACCUUAAAAAAAAGCUUUUGUGCUGCUCAGCAAAAUGACGAUGCAUGGCAUGUUGCAAGCAAGCAGUCUCAUUCAAGAGAGAAGAAAAUUUAAACGCAAGGAAAAUAGCAAGAAUACAAAACCGACACAGACGCAAAUCACAUAAUGCGCAAACAAAACAUUAAUUUGCUUUUCUAUGGUUUAUCUCAUUUUCACUUUAUCAUUCUGUAGUUCAAAAAGAUUAUACUUAACUAUUCCACAAUUACUAUAACAUAUUAUUACUUUGUCACACUAUUAUUUUAAAAAUUAUUCUUAACUAUCUAGUAUUUUAAAAAAUACUUACUUUACUAUCUAUUUAAUUAUAAAGUUUUUAGUAAAACAAGAGUAAAAUUACGAAAUAGCUAAGUACAACUUUUGAAACAGAACAAAAGAAAAAGGAAAAAUGUGGGAGGGAUUGAAGUUUACCCUAUUUUAUAACACUUUGAAAGUGUUUCCACCACACUCAAAACAUAGCAAAGAUUAUAUCUUGUAUAUAGAACUAUUUCAUUUUUUGAGAAUGUCACAUUUCUCCACCCCUUUAAGGUUAAGCCACACGUUCUUGUCAAGCUUAAUGGCUCUAAUACCAAUUGUUAUGCCAUGCUUCUCAAGAUGUCACCUAUUUUAUAAUUACUCUAAUUUAGCACGCUUAAUACUCACAACCUCUUUAACCUAACCACCGUCCAAGAUACUAUAAUUAGAUUAAAAGUUUUAGUUCUAUUAUCUCCUAUAUAUAAGAGAGUAUUUCAAAUCCCGAAGGUGUCGUAAAUAUGUAUAUAUUCUGCUACUUACUAAAAUGCAUCUGAGUUUUAACUUCUUUUUUUUUUUUUUUUUUAACUCCUUAAGCAACAUAUUGUCUGGUGUGAUCUGUUAGUACCAAACAAUUACUCAAUCUGGUAAAAAAUCAUCAUCACAAUUUCUAUCUAAAAAAAAUGCUCUACAUAAUCAUUAAAAGUCAUCAUAAUAUUCUAGCAAAUAAUAGCCAUUAUUAAAUUGUUCGUACAUAAAGUUCUUCAAAUCUAAUUUGUAAUAACGGAAAAUGCUCACAAUUCUGCUGAAAAAAACCUUUCUUUUUCGCAUACAUUCAUGACGAAUAACAACGCCUGAGAUCUACAUAACCAGCUAUCAGAUCUGAAAACCCUAAUUACGAAACGUCACAUCUCGCCAAUCAGAUCUAAACGAAUUUGCAAAAAUGCAACAAAAAAAAGAACGAAAAUAGACUCUAACGAGAGACAAAUCUGAGAUCAAUUUCACACCGCAUUCAAACAAAAACUAAGGAAUUAAAAUCUAUAUAAUGAGUACUCGAACAAGGGGGUUUCGCACCAAAUCUCUUUAAACAGAUCUAAACAAUGCCGAUACAGGAUGUGAAUUCGACACGUUAGCAUCCAUCAUUCAGUACAAGGAUCUACGUAUUUAAAUCGUUCGUGUCCAUUAAAAUGAAUGAUGUGAUCGGUGCAGUAGAAUACGAACCCUAGCCCGCAAAAAGUAGUAAGAGGGGUAAUGAGGACGCCCUAAAUUUAACGAACCUCGAGGGGGAGGGAGGGCUCAGACGCGGAUGGCGGUUCCGGCGGAGGCGGCGGCGGAGGUCGCGGCGGCGGCGCCGCCGAGGAAGGAGAGGAGUCCGGCAGGGGCGGCGGCGGGAUCCUGGUCGUCGAGGAAGAGGUCCUCGGGGACGCGGAAGGCGCCGUGGGCGCAGACGAGGGCGCCGCCGAGCAUGAGGGCGUAGACGAUGAGGGACCCGACGGAGGUGAGGAAGACGACGAGGAGGGUGAGGAGGGAGAGCGCGGCUAGGGUUUCGCGGUGGGAGAAGGGGCGGCCGAGGAGGACGAGCGGCGGCGCGUCGGCGGGGCGGAAGACGUAGAGGAAGGACCAGGCGGAGGCGAGGAGGAGGAGGACGAGGAGGGAGAAGGGGUGGGCGAGGAGGGAGGAGGCGAGGGAGAGGCCGAGGAGGGCGAGGUAGUUCACGCGGAAGUAGGCCAGGUUGCGGCGGAGCCGGGACGCCGCGUCCGAGAGCGAGUCGGGCCGCGCGAAGGCCGACCGGUCCAGGAGCUCCGCCCAUGGCCGCCGGUGCGCGAGGGCGCGGCGCGCGGCCUCGCCGGCGCGGCCGAGGAAGAGGCGGAGCGCCGACAGCGACGCCGCGGACGACGCCGCGGCGCCGGACCCGGCGGCGGCGGCGGCGGUGGUGGGGAGGAUCGGAGGGGACGAAGACGCCAUGGGAGAAGGGGGUGGUGGAGCGCGCGUUUGUUUCUGACCCCAGCCCCAGAGAGAGAGCGAGAGAGAGGGGGGGAGAGAGGAGGAGACGAAAAGGGGUCUUAGGUUGGGAUGGGGACUUUUCCUCUCUUCUUAUUUACUAUUUAUUUAUUUGUUGUGGGGGAUUAGGGAUUUGUGCGUUGUUAUGUUACAUGUAUUUUGUGAAGGCCAAUCAAAGUAAUUGAUACGCAGAUUUGGGAGACUAUUUGCUUCGUCCGCUGCAUCUUCAGGCCUCUAGUGAAUCGUGGGUAAUCAAAAUUUAUUAAUCCUGUAAAUGUGAUUUACAUCAUCAAAAUAUAUAUAAAAUUUAUAAAUUUAUUACUAAAAUGCUAUAUAGAGUUAUAGACUAAAGAGUUAAUAAUUAAAAAAUUAUUAUUUUAAUUCGUAAGAAAAAUAAAUUAAAUCUUCAUAAUUUAUAAUUUUUUUUUUUUGUAUAUAAUCAUUUUAAAUGGUCUAGAGCACAUCUAGCUUCAUUUGAGAUUGCGGGGAGAUUGCGUUACGUGCGGUGAGAUACCCUGUUUGUUUUCGUAAGUAAUAUUGCAUUUCGUAUAUUGCGGUUAGUCGGUUACUACAUAUUUUCUGCGGUUCCAUUGGUAGAAGUAUAUCUCUAUAUAUUUUUCCUAAACUCCGUUAUUAUAUCUUGUUAGAUCUAUCUCAAUACCAAACUAAACCCUAAUAUACUGGGUGCAAGCACUAGUUAGUUUCUUUACAAAGGUUAGAGAACUAUGGCGGUAGGUAUUAUUAUACAGUAAUCACAUGUAGACGUAAAGGCGAUGUUUGGAGUUGUAUGGUGCUUGGAGUUGUAUGGUGCUUCGGCGCCGUAAUCGGCAAUCAAAGGUACAUCGCCACCGGCUUGGAAUCAAGUUGGCAUGCGAAGGUAUUUGUAAUUAGUCCACAUUUAUAUUUUCGAUUUUUAGCUUUGCACAUCGUACUCUUCUGAGAUUUAUUUUUAUCGGUUAAACUGCAACUUAUAUGCGCCAUAUAUAUGUUUCAUUUAUGUUAGUGUUAACUGAAACAUUUGGCGCAUGAAAUCCUGUCUAUUUCAAUAACAUCGCCUUACCACACCAUCCAUCGAUAGUCCAAGCUGGUAAGACACGUUUUUUGCAGGUAAAAGAUUACUUUCUUUUUCCCUUGCUCCCUGUUUCCAAGGACUGAUGAUAAAAAGGUAGAUGCAUGUUCUUGUCAAGCAAAGCUUGAAAAUUCAAUCAGUUCUUUUGAUUAGAACUGACGAGCCUUAAUCUCAGACUGAACAGGCGGAGAAUUUAACAUAAUAUACUAAGCAAAAAUAAAAAUGAUAAAGAUUAGCUCACUUAAACACACUAUAAUCAGAACUGGAAUAGAAAGAGACCAAACCAGGGAAAAGCACAAAUAGAUAAAGACCGAACCCGGGAAAAGCACAAAUCGAUAAAUCAUCAUUCGCAUAAAAUGACACACUCGGAAACUCCGACACUCUCAUGCUGCAGGAAACCUCCUGCAGCAACCAGAAUACAACACGAAACAUUAUGGGAGUAAACACCCACAGCAUUCGCACCAAAAAUUAGUAUUUAUUAUUCACAGGCGCUCUUUUUAAACUAUAACACAGAAACAAUCUAGGCGCAGACAACUACUCAGGUUCGUAUCAAAAUUACAGUAUUUGUUUGUGUUCUUUUUACCUGUGUGACUGUACACUUCUAACUAUGCACACACCGCUCUGUUCAACAAUAUUUUACAGACGGAGAAAAAAGAAUGAAAAAACAAAGCUCCCAUCAGUGUAAAAAGAGUUUCUGUUUCGAACAUUCAAAAAUGUAAUAAGCACCAGCCCCAGCGGCCGGUUCAAAGAACUGUUAGUAAUCUCCUAACAAAGGCAACUAAAUCUAGCCAUCUGCAAAUCCCUGAUCUUGCUCCUGCACAAGCGCCGCCUCCAACUCCCUCUCCAACUGGGCGGAGAAAUCCCAUGCAGCAGCGUCGGAUGGGAACUCCAUUGGAAAAGCAAAAGCCGAAGGAUCAAUGUACUGGAUAUUACCAUCUAUACCCUCUUGGCCGAGUUCACUGGUAGUGAGACCAAUUCCGUCUCUCAUUGGCUCCGCAUCGAUCAUCCCCAGUAUCUCAUCAAUAUUGAAACAAUCGAAGUUGAUAUUGUUGUCACCAGGCAACAGAUUCUCUAUUGGCUCCAAGAGACCGAACACAUCCUCACUUCCUUCUUCCUUCACCUUAUCUUCUGCUACCGCGACAACAGGCGAUUGACUCUUGAAUUCAUCAACUGACUCCACCUUCGGCGCUCUCAGAUUAGCUUUAUCAGGACUUGAAACCUCCGUAUUUUGUUCUUUAGCAGCUGAUUCAUGCUGGGACGUAGUUGUAGAUUCACAAGAAUCCUCUUUUGCAUUUCCUUCAAAAUUAACUCGGGCAAGGGAACCAUACAUAGCCCUAGCAGCUUCAUCGUAAGCCCGAGCUGCCAACUCAGCAGUUGGGAAAGUUCCAAGCCAGAGUCGGCUACCUCUGUUAGGUUCUCGGAUCUCUGCAACCCACUUGCCCCAUGUUCGUUGCCUUACUCCACGGUACAAACAUGAUGAAUUAUCUGGACCUCCUUUUCCUCGCAUGCAGCCUUUCUUUGAGCCCUUUGCUGGUGCUUUUUUAAUUCGUCUGUAUGCCUCUUGGCAAUUUUGCUGCUUCCACUUCUUAAUAGUUUCCAAAACAGAAUUUGGGCCUUCUCGUGUUCUUCGUGGUCUUUUUUUCCUGAGUAGUAGCACAAGGAAGAUUCAAAACAUCAGCAAAAACACUUGCACCGAGUCCAAAUUAGAAUGUAACCUCUAUAGGUAAUGCAAUUCAAAAGCACAGGUUCACUAUGUUCUGUGCACAAUACAAGUGCAUUUGGCAGAUAAACAUAAUUUUCUUAUUGAUAAACCUGAAGUAAAUUGUAGUUCUCCAGAAUUCCAUACCAGUUCACCGUUUCCCAAACCAUACUCUUGAGAUUGGAGGUGAACAGCUAACCUCUCGUAUCACAUUGACUCUAGUCUCAGAAGAUUAAACUCGCUAGUAGUAGUCUAAAUACAAUCUCAAUCAGGUUCUACUGGUGAGUGUUCCCAUUCUAAUGCCUCAUUCCCUAUCAACUAUUAUAUCUUUGAUCAGCCAACUUGGUUAACCCCUCACAAAAAACACAAGUGCAUAAGGAACCAAAGAGUUGUGUACUUGCUGCCAAUUGAAAGAUCUCUUCUUUUUUUGAUUUUUUGUUUUUUUGUUUUCCUUCUCCUUUGUUUUUUGAAUUUGUCCAGACACUAGAUUAGAGUUUUUAAUUACUAUACAAAAUGUGUGAACUAGGGAAUUCACACUAAUGACCAGGGUUAGGGUGUUUACGCAUAAAUAAGUGAAGUCAUUAGCAUUCAUACCUACUGACCCGAUGCGACCAACAACUCCCAUCCUGACUGCUGUCGAUGUUCUAGUAAAACAUAUAACACAAUCAGCCAAGCAUGUGAUCAAUCUCGGAAAAGAAAAUUAUAAAUAUUGAACUCCAAAUACCAAAGAAACAGAGACGCCAGAAGAAAAACAAAAAUAAAACAAAAAACAAAAAACAAAAACACCACAGAAACUAAAAUAGCAUGAAUACUCCAAUCUAGAUCGAAGCCAAACACAAUUUGGUAUUCACCAUCUAUUAGAUCGAAGCCAAACACAAUUUGGUAUUCACCAUCUACACAAUUGGUCCCCGUACACUCAAAAUAGUCCAAACUAAUUAUAUUAAUAUCCCUCAACCAUCUCUCCAGAAUAUGGUUAAAUCAAAAACGUCACAAAAAACAAAUAACAAACCCCAAACAAACCCAAACUCAAAAAGUUGUCUGAGUUCAGAAUAAAAACCGAAAUGUAAUCGGAUAAAAAAUGCUUCUUGAAAUUCUAACUCAGAAAUACCAACAUUAGAAAAGACCACUUACAACCCAAAAUAUCGUCCAGUUGCAUGCAUUCCGAAGUGAAAAAAUUAAGAAUAGCAAACCAGUACCCAAAUAAAAAUUACUGCGAGCAAAACACAAAAUAUCUUAAACAAAUAGGACCAAAAGAAUUUUAAGUCAAUUAACCAUGACACCACAAGGCAAAAAGAUACAGACAACAGCCAGAAUGUUACUCUAUGACUAAUCAACAAUACCACAUCACUAACUAGCAUCUUUCUUUCCUCACAUACACACCCUAUUUGGCUAGAGACAAACUACUAACCUUUCGUAGAUACCUCAAUUUGCUUCUCUCUAAUUCAUUUGUUGGAAAUUCAUUAGUUCUAUAAUGAUUUCUCCUAAUUCAGGGUUUUUUUUUUUUAACAUGUCAGCAAACCAGGUGCUUUGUGUUUGACUUACCUUGACUGUAUUUUCCACAUGCAAGAAACCUUGUUUACUUUCUUGUCCAUCCAAAUAAACCCGUGAUCUAUAACAGAACGCAAAACAGGAAAGUAAACAAUGAACUGAAUUGACCCAUAUUUCAUUUCAAGCAACCUACUCCAAUCAAAAUACAAUUCACUCGAUUUCAUUGAACUACAAAUUGUAACAACUCCAUCUUAAUUAAUAUAGUACCUAAAAAAGUAACAAUAAUGGGAAAUCAAUUGGUUUAAUACCAAACAAAUUAAAUAGUCAUGGCACGUGAAUAACAAACUAGUAUAUUUCAUUUCAAAGAACUGAUUUCCAUUAGCAGAUUGAUUCAAUUUAGACUAUAAUCAUGGCAAAUCAUCAGCUAGCUAGUAACUUCUACAAUCUACAUAAACGCUCCUACAAACGCUUUGUUUACAAAUUACGACACGGAUUAUCAAACUCCGCGCACUUUCGUUAGAAAAAUAGCCAACACGAAAACGAAAUUGGACACAGGAAGCCGAAACCCUAAUCUAAAAUCGGCACCACAAACUCCACUCACCUUCGUUGGAAAAAAAAGCCAAAACAAGUACGAAAUUGGACGCAGGAAAACGAAAACCUAAUCUAAAAUCGGCACUCGUCAUCUCCCCAAACAAGAUCACAAAAUUAAAAAUAAAAUCAAAUUAUACAGGAUUUUCCCUUACCUUUCCUGCUCGUACAUCUCGAAUCCUCUUCUUUGAUCGGCUUCCACCAUUUGAUCUCUCUCUCUCCGAGCUCCCUUCGAUCUCUUUUCUUUCGAUACCUCUUCGGUCUCUAGGGUUUUCUCUUUCUAGGGUUUUCUCCUCUUUUCCUUUUUUUUUUUCUGACUCUUUAUCGCUUUCGAUCGAUUCUUAUAGCGCGGCUCUCUUUUUCUUGGGUACCAAGGGACGCACAAAUCCUCGGGUGCGGGUAUUUAUAGAAUUAUAGGAGGGAGUACUCGCGAUGUUUCUAUAAUUAGGAAAGCGGGGUUGGGGGUGACGUGGGCCGUGUCGUGCCGCUAAAUGCCCGUCGCUUUCGACACGUGUGACCAGAAGCUUCCGGAAGGGGGCAGCGAGCUGCUGCGUGCGUGAUUGCGUCGCGCUUCCUUAGCCGCGAAGGCGUUCCCCGCCGCGGCUCAGAUCUCCGCCACGUCACCCCCGCGUGCCCCAUCGCGCGCGUAACGUGGACUUUAAGAUUCGCGGCAGCUGUUGAUUGCGCCGCGGGAAUCGUAAAGCACAGGGGUCGUGGUGUACAGUUUGGAUAUACUUUCAGAUAUUUCCGGAUAAUGACGAUGAUUAGUUGGCCACGGUUGGCAUUUUUUUGUCAAUAAAAAAAUAAUUGCUACAAGACUUAUUAUUGUCUGUAUACAAUGCACCCUGGUUGAUAAAAUCAGAAUUUUCAGAACAUAAAAAACUCAAAAUUCAAAUAAAAAAAAAAAAGAAGUAGAGGUAGCUUCAAAAUUGAUGAUAAACACAUUAAAAGAGCCUAUCUACUCCACCGAAAGUAAACUUCAAAUUAAAGUAUACACUUGAAUAAAGUAAAAUUCAGUUAAAAAUUAUUUUUGUACUGCAUAUUUUAUUUGUAUAAUUAUGAAACUAAAUUUUUUUAAUUUUACUAUUUAUUUAUUUGACGAAAAGUAAAUAAAUUAGAAAUUUUACACGUCAAAAUCAAUUAUAUUAUUUAAAAAUUUUAAAUUUUGACCGGGACAACAAAUCAAAAAAAAAUUGCGGUCCAAAACAACUAUACUUUUCUGCGCUUUCGGCAAAGCAAACACACUUCAAAAACAUUGUAUCUGUCACCAUCAGAGGGGAAAUAAAGAAAAGAACAAAGAUAGCAUCAGUUUACAUCGGCAAACUUUUUACAGAGCAAGUUGAUCCACCUCAAUCAAUGUGCUGAUAAAUUCCAUUUCCACUGCAGGUUUUUCUGUACAGCUACAAUGAAUUGAAUAGGAGUUCAUUCCAGACGUCCGGCACGCCGGGCAGGCACCAGUGUAUGCAGUCGGCGUAGCUGGCCGGAUUUGCGAGCUGUCGCGGGGUCAGCGCCUCCCAGAACUUCCGGUAGAUCGAGGGGUGCCCGUCCUUUCGAUACUCCGAUAGUUGGGUAAUGUUGAGAACCGUGAUCUUUCUGCCCAGUUUAGCCAUUAUCGCCGCCACCGCAUGCAUGGUUUCUACGUCAGAUCCACUCCCCCAGUAGCCCUCGUCGUCGAUCGGCGCUCUCUCGUCGUAGCAGUUUCCGUCGCUGCCCGGAUUCCAUUCCCUGCUCCUGGAAAGUUGGAAAGCAGUGAAACUCGAUCAGAUCAGAAGAAGCAAUCAUAGUUUCAGUGCCCAAAUUUCCACGCCUUUGUAAUCAUCAUUUUUUUUACUGUUCCAAUAGUGUUUUAAAAGUUACGCAAAAUAUAGUACAAACCAGAGGUGCGUGGGCGACAUUGUAACAAAGAAAACCUGCUGCUUCUGGGGAUCUACACUUGUUGAGACCCACCCUGCCCAGGUCUCCAGGGCCAACUUCAUUGCGUCUAUUCCGUCGGCUUCUUCGCAAAUGUCCUCUUCACUACUGCUCCAUCUGUUAUUUUUGUUUUUUUUUGUUUUUUUUCCAAAACAAUAGUUACUAGUUUAACAAUUGAACCUUUUAAUCGAUAGAAUAUAAACUGUUUGGUACUGCACUUACACAAGCUUUAUCUUAUUUCCGCUCCGCCACCACAAGUAUGAGUUGAAGAUGAGUAUAUCGGCAUUCGCCCAUUCAGCUGCGUGCUUAAGCAGUGAAUCCGGUCGGAUUUUCCUCUCAUCUAGUCUGUGGUUUAUCGGGUCAUCGGAAUUUGAUUCUACAAUCAGUGGUGCCCAGUAAAACUCAAUAGAAGCAUUAUACUCCUGUAUAGAAAAACAAGCAAUAUAAACCAUGAAUCCUGCAGAUCCUGCAGAUGCAUAGUACAUCAGAAUCAGGGAGAAAUUGGACUACUAUUAUUCUUUCGAAUUUCAAGAUACUUUAAAAUGCAAAUUCGACCAAUUUCAGAUCACCUCGGCCAUAAAUUUCGUUAAACCGGCGUUAGGCGUCAUCGACUUCUUGCCAGCAGGAAUCGCAGAUUGUACGAGGCAGACCAUGGAAAUCCACUGGCCUCGGUUUAGCGAAUCUCCCGCAAACAUAAGCCGCUUCCCUCUUAGCUUCUCCAGCAUCUCAGUUGCAUUCCAUCUCCGAAAGAGAGUAGCAGAAAAAUUAUAACAUCAAGUGUCAGAAACAUUUCCUUAUCUUAUCCACCGAAACUCGAAAAUCAAAAUUCGAUCUUGUCCGGAAAAAUUAACGAUCAACACGGUAGCUCAGCGAAUUACGAAAUUACAGUUGAGAAAUCCACCAAUUUCUCGCUCAAGUCCAUACAACUCUUUCAUUCAUUUCGUAGUUCUUUUUUUCUUUUCUUUCCUUCAAAUUUGAGCUGCAACAAGCUUCUUCUUUUCGACUCGAACUAGAGUUGCGAAAAGUUACAUAAUUUGAUUUGAUGAGCAUAUAAGUAAAAAUUUCCGAAUGAACAUAACUUCGUAAAGAAAAAGAAGUACUUGAAAUUAUAUUAUGAUACCUCUUUAACUCGCAACUGUCAGGCUGCCAUCGCCAGCUCUGGUAAUCCCUGUCGGGCCGGCCGUGCUUUCUGCACGCCAACUGAUCCGACAUGUAAGGGCAAUCGAGCUCCUCAUACAGCGGAUAUGAACGGUUAUCGUAGACCCAUCUCCCCGAGAACAAGUUGCAACCGUCGGAUUUGCUCUCGUGCUGCCGACCGUCUUCCGCUGCAACUGCCGCCCUUCUUUUGUAGCUCUGGAUGGUAGUGCAGGCCUUCGACCAGUCCGAAGCACCUAAGAUUCAAAUUUAAUUUACUUCAACACUCAUGUUUACUGUUUAGUUGGUUUUACACACACGAAAGGAAAAAAAAAAAAAAUGUACAAACUUUACCACAUGUAUUUCAUUGUCCACCUACUCUGCUGGAUUAUUAACAACAAUUUUGAAAGGAGCAACAUCAGAGUAUCGAAUCCGAAAUAAUAAGCUCAGGAACAAAUUUCAAUAGCCAUUUCCUUAUUUUAGCUACAAAUUUCCAACAUUAUUCAAAAAUCACAUGCACCUGAACAAACACUACAGGGCCAAAGUGUCAAUGCGGCGUCCGGGACCAUCACUAGAUACAAACAUUUUAAUAUCUUACUACUUGUGCGAUACGAAACUAUCGUCGUACGUACUAUUAAUUUUUUUAACGAACAAAAUGAGAACAGUAAAAACCCAAAAUCGCAUUUCACUGCUACAUUCAACGAUCGAUCACUUAAAAUGACCGAGUUACACUACGUCCCCGCGAAUUUCAGGGGAUGAGAACGCACCUAAGACUCGAUUCGCGACUCGAGGAGUCGAAGCGUUGGAGGUGAGAUAAGUAGGGAGAGAAGAAGGGUUGGGAUUUGAAUUUGAAUUUGAAUGCGGGUCGUCAUCUCCUCGGCUUCUCGUGAUUCCGCCAUUGCUGAGGAUAGUAAUUUUGAAGAGCACGAAGAAGCAGAGGAAGAGGACGAAGAGGAGGGAGAGUUGGUUCUUCUUCUUCCUGCCCCACUUCUGCAUCUUCUCCUCGGAGAGACACAGGGAGAGAGAUUUCGGCAUUAAUGGGAAGCUUCUUGGCUCUUGAUUGCAGCAGAAGCGGAGAGAGACGCGAGGUGAGGGGCCCUUCCGUGUCCAGCCCCAGUACCGCAUGUCUUUUGAAAAACCGUUUCUACGUGUAUGGACCUAUUUAGACCCUGUAUGCGUGACAUAAAUAAUUUUUAAAUAUACAACAUAAUAUGUUAUGUUUUAUGCAUAUCUAUAUCUAUAUCUAUAUUAUUUCAUUAUAAUAUAAAAUAAAUAGUGUUUCCAACUCCAAUGAAGUUGGAAUCCUUAAAUCAUUUAGCUGCAGUGAUUAAUUAUUUUCCGGUAUUUUGAGGCACCACCUACUGACCUGUAACUUAGGAAAAUUACUGUUGAGGGCGUUUCGAUAGUCCAUUUGGAACAAUUAUUGCUCCAGCACGAACAUUAAAGCGAAGAAAAUAUCUCGUGCUUUGUCAGCGUCUUAUAAUGAAGUUUUGCAAUUAUGGGAGUAAAUUGCACUGCUAUUCCUAAACUUUUGGACAAUUGAGUUCCACUGAUCCUCAAAAUUUUUAGAUUUCAUAUUAAAAUAUUUACAAAUUUAAAAUCAUUUUCUUUUAGCUCUUAUUCUUAUUUAUUGCUAGGAAAAAAAAAAAAUAUUUGCACACCCUAAGAUGAAUAGAUGGAUGGAUUUGUUUCUCUUUAUAAUUAGAAAUAAUAAUAAUAAAAAAAGAAGUAAAUUCCUCUUUGCUGUUGUAAGGGAAAGUGCCAGAGGAAGCAAGAUGCCAAAAUGGAAUGUUUGGGGUGUCAUUUGGAGUGUUUUACAUCAGGUAUCUAUGAUUUCUAUUUUAGGGUCUCUUUGGCAACUUUGGAAUUUAAUUCUUAAUAUUUUUUUAUGAUGAAAAUAGUACUUGCUCAAAACAGCAUCAUUUUAUUUAUAUUAAAAAGAAGAAGUUUGUAUUUAAGAUAUAUGUGUGAAUUAUUUUGAAUUAUUAACCUUGGAUUUUAUAAAAAAGACACUCUAUUUUGUAGAGAGAGAGUUGGAAAGAAUAGGAGAUAAAUGGCAAAAAUAUUUUAUGCUCACUUUACACAAAAAAAUAUGUAUCUACUAAGCCAUUCAAACAGUUCAUCUGGAAAAUAAAUAAAUAAAUAUAUAAAUAAAUAUGUACAACACUAAUCAAAGUAUUUUGUUUUUAACAAAAACCCACUUCUGUAAAAUUCUCAAACAGGAUCUUAGCUUUGUAAUAAAUUAGUAAAAAAGGAGCUUCCAUUUUUUUUUCCUCUCUUUCUUCGUUUUAGUUCAUUGAACUUUGGAGGUGAUAUAGUUUAUUCCUUCAAUAAUUAUCAAUUAAUAACGUAUACAACAAGAUUAUAAAUUUCCACUUACAGUUUCCAAAAGUUGAUUUCCUAUGCACAUAUUGUUGUAAUUAAAAAAAAAUAACACUUCAUUAAUGGAUUGAAUUGGUUCUAUCAACUUUAAGUUGAAGAUAGUUUCCUAAGUUGAUGACAUCUGAGGUUUACACUGAUAAGUGCAAUUGCAAUUUUAUUGGAAGAGUAAAACCUCAUUUGUUCCUGUCAUAAGCUUUUUCUUUAAAUUCUGUCGUAACCGUUCUCUCCGUAAUAUAACAGUUUUUCCUCGAGGAAUUUAUCUAUAUCUAUAUCUAUACAUUAAUUUCCAUGACUAAAUCCUACAUGCACCCAUCCCUUUAAUUUGAGGAGAAGUGGGGUUUAUUUUUUUUUUUUUUUUUUUUUUUUUUUUACUUUUUCUCAUUUUCUUUAUAUUUACUAAGGCCUAAAAUUUUUUUUUUAACCCUAUUUCUUUACCUUUUGGUCUUCCACCCUCUUUCUUAAAUUUAUAAAUUUGAAUCUUUGUUGUGUUUUAUAUUCGGAGUCAAUUAAUUAAUAAAAGUGAUAUAUAUAUAUAUAUAUAUAUAUAUAUAUAUAUAUAUAUAUAAUAUAAAUUAUCUUACGUGUUAUUGUGAGCCUUUCUUUAGUCAUAUUAACUGUAAUAUGAUAUUUUUUUUUAUUAUUGUGUUAUAAAAAUAAUUUUAAUCAUCCAUUUGCAUGAUAUGCGACAUCUUUUGAACAAGAUUGAAUAAUUUUGUUGGAACGAUUGAUUCUUUUUCAUUAUAGUUUUUUUGUUAAAAAAAGUGUUUGUUUAUAAUAUAGACUAUAUUUAUUAUAUUUUUAUACUAAACUGAUAUUUUAUUUUUUACAAAUUUUUAUUUUAACAGUAUCUACCCACCGUAACACGCGGGUCACUACACUAGUCGUUGCAUGAUUAGCAUAGUCUUAGAUACAUUAUUACUUAGGCUCCGUCACAACGCAUAAGCGUCUUAUUUAGUAUUUCAUUUUAAUUUAAUUAAAAAAUUUGUUAUGAGGUAGAUUAAGUAGUGCAAUCAAAUCAUAGUCAUUUUUUAAAAAUUAAAGGGGUUUUAGGCUUUCAUAGAAAAAAUGUUUUAUGCUUUGUAGUGUUUAGUUUAUAGAAAAAAAUAAUAGUUUUUCAUCGGUAUUUCUUUGAUUGAAAGGAAAAAAAAUAUAUUUGUUUAGUUCUGUAAAAAAAUCGUGAAUAAAAAUAAAUUUACGCAACGCGAUUUUCAUUUUCUGGCGAAAUUGAGAGAAAAAAAUACUUUAAUUUUCUCAAAUCGGUAAAAAUAUUUUUUUGAUUUUUUUUUUUUUUUUUACAGUUAAACAAACACACGAGAAAAAUAAGUUUCCAACUAAACACACUCCAAGGUAAAUCAUAUUGUAGGUGAAACAUGCGAUCCAAGCCCUGUUAUGAGCCUAUGUUUAAGGCCCGUAGACCGGGUCCAACCCGACAGACAAAUUUAAACGGGUCGGGCCAGUUUUGUUCGGGCGUAAACAUGUCAUUUGGUCCUGACCCGUUAACAUAGUGGGCCCAAAGCGUGAUUGGUUUUCGAUCCAUUGGGCUGAGCCAGAUCAACAGAGAUGCCCCAAAAUAGUAUUGGGCCAUGAUGAUCCAACUUAUAGGACUAUAACGAUUUAUGCGCAACGAGCACAUAAUUUUCUUUUAAUUACGCAUUAACGGUGAUUCAAACUUCCGAUCUAUUAUAUCAGCAAUAAGCAACAACAAAAAUUACCUGUUUCAUUUCUCAAGAUUCCAACACUAUGAUUGAGAUACAGGUCCCGAAGACUACAUUAUUUUAGGGAAUAUUACGUAUCAUACAAAGGCCAACUAAUCUACGAAAAUACAAAUAGUGGGUUCUGGGGCCAUCUAUUUUGAUGUCAUAUUAAUAAUUAUUUCAUCUUAAAAAGAUAUAAACCGUCAAUGAAUAAUAUUUUAAUAUAUUAUACUCAGCAUGCACGACCGUGGAUUUAAAAACUCGGGCCCCAUACGGAAGAAGCCACCAAAUUUCGACUUGUUCAGAUCAGAUCAGGCUCGAAUCUCACCUCGACUCGGGAAGGUACAAGAUUGGGCCCGAGCCAAAUUGGAUUCAAAUUCCAAAUAAAUUAAAGUUUGUGAAUUUGCCACCCUGGAGAUACAUGCACCAAAUUUGGUGGGAUUUAAUUAUUCUCAUUUACUUUAAUAAUAUAUAUAUAUAUAGAGCAAGGCUGCUGUGCUUUCAGGAGCACGGAGGCCUCUAUGCUCCUGAGCCGUUUUCGAUGAUGGAGUUUCCGAAUCGACGAUCGGCUCCGUUAAACUUGAUCUAGCGUAUUUGAAGUUUCUAGAAAAUAAUUUUUGCGAUUUUUCGAUAUCAUUUACCUAGCAAUCGAAAUGAUUCAAAAUCAAUAAUUUUUAACGGCUGAAAAUAAAAAUUCAAUAAAAAGUGGUGAUAUAGCAUUAAAAUUUUCGAUCAGAAAUAUUGAUUUUGUUGUAGAUAGUAUAAAAAAUUUUGUUUCAAAAUUUCAUCUGAUUUGAAUACUUCUACACUGUUAAACUUGAAAACGACAGAUAUCAACCAUUAAAAAUUAUAAAUUUUGAAUCCUUUCGAUCACUAGGUAAAUGAUAUAAAAAAAUCGCAAAAAUUAUUUUCUAGAAACUUCAAAUGCGCUAGAUCAAGUCUAACGGAGCCGAUCGUCGAUUCAAAAAUUCCAAUCAAUAAAAACGGUCAGGAGCACGGAGGCCUCCGUGCUCCUGAGAGCACAGCAGCCACGCUGCUCUAUAUAUAUUAUAUAAUAUAAAGUUGAGCUAGAAUACUCUCGAUAGUAAACGGGACGUUUUACUAUCGAGUUGUUUUCGAUGAUAGAGCUUCCAAAUUGCGAUCGGCUUCGUUGAACAUGAUCUAUACCACUUGAAGUGUUUCGAAAUCAAAUUUUAAAUCUUUUCGGCAUCAUUACCUAAUGAUCAAGGUUAAAAUUUGUAAUUUUAAUGGUGGAUAAGAAAUGUUUUCUUGUUUAACGGUGUAAAGAUAUCCAAAUAAAUUGAAUUUUUGUUAGAAAAUUCUUUAAACUAUUUAAAACAAGAUCUAUACUCUUGAUCUUGAUUACAAGACUCCUAUCAUCAUUUUUUAAAGAAUAUUCAUUUUCAGCCAUUCAUUUUUUGUUCACUAGAUGGAUAAAAGAACAAUAUCGAAAGUGCGUGAAAUUUGAUUUUUAGGUAGUUUAAAUGGUUUAGAUCAUAUUUAACGGAGCCGAUCGUCAAUUUGGAAGCUCUAUCAUCGAAAACAACUCGAUAGUAAAACGCCUUGUUUACUAUCAAGAGUAUUCUAGCUCAACUCUAUAUAUAUAUAUAUAUAUAUAUAUAUAUAAU